GUGCAAGGCAAGUUAGUCAAGCUCAUUAGCAGCAAGCGAGCGGCUUUGAGCUGGGAGAUCUGAGACGCGGCAAACAUCACGCUACGUCACCGAGGCGUGGCAAAGCCAGAAAGCCGUGGAGGCAGCUGUCUCUGGCAGCUCCGUCACCCAGCAUGGCCAAGAAAUCGCCAGCAAAUAAUCACCCAGGAAAGAGACCAGGAGGUGGCACCAGAGCAGAUGGGAUCCACGAGCCCAGGGUUCUAUUCCUAGCUCUGCUGAAUGGCCUGGGAGAAAAACUUCCUAGCACUUUGGCCUCCAAAAGGACUCAGCACAAAUCAAACAUCCGCAGGUGACUUACCAGGAAGCCCAGAGCAGAGAUGGAGUCGCCAUGACAACAGACAGCUUCUCUCAUCUCAGGUGAUUAACACAGCAGCCCAGAAGGAAGGAUUGGAAAAAUAAAGGAAAGCACGAAUGAGCCUGAUUGAGAAUGAGGCAAUAAGGACACACAUAAAUCAACUCAAAGGAUUGGUAAUUCAGCACAGAUGGGGAUAUAGCCGUAUAUAAAUAAACCAGCUGGAGCAACACCUGAACCAUCUCUCUGAACGCUUCCACUUUCCUAAGGUUUUGGCGUGAGAGGGGGCUAUGGUUUCAUCUAAAUACAGGAACCAGAUCCAAGCCCACUCCUCCCACAGAGCUUUGUCCAUCUCUAACAUAAACAACAAACAUUCUGUCGGGAAAUUCUACCUAGAGCUAACAAAACGCUUCUGAACUAUGUUGGCAGUACAAUGGUCUUUUGCACUCCCAAAUUCCAUGAAAAUCUUUAUCAGCCUGGGGGUAACACUGCCCCCACUGCCAUUGAAACACACCCAGGUUCUAACAUUUCCCCCUCCCCCACGAACUACACUAAGGUUCUAACUCCGCCCCUCCGCCACUGAACUACACCAGGAUGCUAACACCACCCUGGCACUGAAAGUAACCAAAGUUCCAGGUUCAAACGAUGCACUGACAGCCUAAUAAGGAAACGCAAUUUAUCUGAAAUUGGGGAGUCCAAAAAAAAAAAAUCAUCUGAUAGCAUUGAACAUUGACAGAUCACAUGAACACUACCAGCUCUCAGUUGGUGGGUGGUCACGUGGCAGGAAACCCUUUCACGAGUGCUGUACUGCAGCAUUUCCAACCUCAAAGGGUCAAAAUCCUGAGAGUGUCUUUAAAAUGAUGAGAGUAAAAAAAAAUAAUAAUAAUGGGUUCUUUUCAUUUGCCUUCUGAGAGCGAGUAGGGCUGACAUUCUCAAAGGCACCGGAGAGAUUUGAACAGCCAGUUCCCAUUCAACUGCGUGAAUGGGAAAUAGGUGUCCUUUGGGGGCUUUGAAAAGCUCAUCCAAGAUUUGGUGACAUUAUACACUCACUUUGCACUGUUGUAAAUGACAACAGAAAGCCCCGCGUCUUUUUUAUUUAUCAGCAACUGAGUGGUAGAUUGUAUAAAGGCUUAGGGCUCCAUUCAGUUUGGGCCAGUGAGUUUAGAGCCCCAGGGAUAGUAAGUCCACUAGCUGGGAAGUUAUAUUAGCGUAAGAUGGCCCUCAACCCACUCCUGGCAGCCUGCAGGUCAACACUUCUAUGUUGGGGACAGAGGAUGCAAACAGGGCACCUGGGACACACUUCACAGCUCCUUUGGAUCUCCUGGGGGAGCAGUGUUUCCACCACCAUGAGGGAACAAUUGUCAGCCCUUUGCUGUGUAUACAGAGUGAAGUGGUGAUGCUAUUCCUCUGCACUGUGCCUUUACCCUUCUGAGGGGCGGGGUCUCAGCUGUGCGUUGGCCAUUUUCUCAGUCUUUAAUGGAAGGGUCAGGGGAAUAUGAAUCUUUAACAAAAAUGUCAUCUCUUCUAUCUUUUUGCUGGGUGUUUGAGUUAAACGGGCGAUCCGAAAACCAAACCGGAGCCAGGG